CAUUCAUUUCCUUUUCCCAUCAAAGGCAUCUGGCUCUCACUUUCUUCCCUCUGUCACGCCCUCCUGCUCCGGCUCCCUUUUUUUUCCCCUGCAUUCCAUGUGGCAGCCCCGACAUACCUGAGCCCGUCUCAACAAGUCAGAGCCGACGUCGGCACGUGUGCCAGUGUUAUGAUGCCGUGCUGCUGGCGUGUGCAUCAGACACACGGAUAUUUAUUGGUUUGGCUCCUGGCUACAGACGGAUAAUUGGUAUUUCCCCUCUGGCGAAAUGCAUUUUUAAUGUUCAUGGGAAGAUUUUUUCGCUCACAAGUUGUUUAUCUCUGCUACAUGACAUAGCAAGCUGAUGAUACUGGUUUUGAUCCAGCAUUUACUUACGACUGGAAUUUGUUUUUGCGCAUUUUCCCAAGAGUAAUAUUGAUGAGCUAUUAGCUGUGGCACCCAAAUGUGGUUAAUAUAAGGCGGCCCUACUGAGUUUGCAUGUAGAGUGCAACAAACUGACCUGACGAGCACUGAUCUUGAAACUAACUGUGAGGAACUGCUCCUUUUAAAUUAAAAAUCUAAUCAGACAAGA